GCUAAAAAUCUAGCCCAUUGAUCCCACAUGAAUUUAUUUACCUUUUUACAAUUAACCAAAACAUUUUAACAUUCUAGUAAAGGAGAUUGAAAAAAUAAUUGGAGCAAUAAAAAUAGUACCGCAAGGGAAAGAUGAAAUAAACAUGAAAUAAACUAAAGCACAAAAAAGUAGAGAUUUUCCCUCGUACCUUUUGCAUCAUGGUUUAACUAGUCUAAUCAAGCAUAAAGAAUUAUAGUCUGACCCCCCGAAACUAAGCGAGCUACUUCAGGGCAGUUUUAAGAACCAACCCGUCUCUGUUGCAAAAGAGUGGGAUGACCCUCAAGUAGCGGUGAUAGACCUAACGAGCUUAGUGAUAGCUGGUUACUCAAGAAAAGGAUUUUAGUCCAACCUAAAGCUUUUAUUAUGAACAAAAAUUUUCACCAAGCUUUAGAGCAAUUCAAAUAAGGUACAGCCUAUUUGAAACAGGAUACAACCUCAACUGACGGGUAAUAUAAGUUAACUUACCAAAUUAAGUGGGCCUAAAAGCAGCCACCUUUAAAAGGGCGUCAAAGCCUAGUUGAAAAAUUUUAGAUAAUUUCUCCAACUCCUUCUAACCCCCUACCAAUAUUGAGUAAUUCUAUAUAUCUAUAGAACCUAUAAUGUUAAAACUAGUAACAAGAAGCUAAACCUUCUCUUAGAUGUAUGUAUAAAUCAGUAAGGAUAAACCACUGAUAAUUAACGUUUGUGAGCCCACAUUAGUAACCCCCCCAAGAAAACCCUAAUUUUUUCUACGUUAAACUGACACAAGAACAUCUCAAGAAAGAUUAUAAGAAAAAGAAGGAACUCGGCAAAUUUUAACCCCGCCUGUUUACCAAAAACAUCGCCUUUUGCCCAAAAAUAUAAGGUCUAGCCUGCCCAGUGACCAUGGUUCAACGGCCGCGGUAUCCUAACCGUGCGAAGGUAGCGUAAUCACUUGUUCUUUAAAUAAGGACUAGUAUGAAUGGCAUCACGAGGGUUAUACUGUCUCCUUUUUCUAAUCAGUGAAACUAUUCUCCCCGUGAAGAAACGAGGAUAUUUUUAUAAGACGAGAAGACCCUAUGGAGCUUUAAAUUUUAUUUCACUUGCUCUCUUUAUCCCCAGCCCCUGCCUCUUAAUUUUAACUGAGUAUUCUGAUAGUAAAUUUUAGGUUGGGGUGACCGCGGAGCAUAAAAUAACCUCCGCAUAGAACGGGCCUGAGCCUUGAACAAAGAGCUUCAACUCCAAGUACUAAUACAUUAACUUCCAUUGACCCAAUAUUUUUGAUCAACGAACCAAGUUACCCUAGGGAUAACAGCGCAAUCUACUUUGAGAGCCCCUAUCGACAAGUAGGUUUACGACCUCGAUGUUGGAUCAGGGUAUCCCAGUGGUGCAGCCGCUACUAAAGGUUCGUUUGUUCAACGAUUAAAACCCU
rnacentral:rRNA from 1 species